UACGUAGGGUGCAAGCGUUAAUCGGAAUUACUGGGCGUAAAGCGUGCGCAGGCGGUUCUAUAAGGCAAAUGUGAAAUCCCCGGGCUCAACCUGGGAACUGCAUUUGUGACUGUAGAGCUGGAGUGCGGCAGAGGGGGAUGGAAUUCCGCGUGUAGCAGUGAAAUGCGUAGAUAUGCGGAGGAACACCGAUGGCGAAGGCAAUCCCCUGGGCCUGCACUGACGCUCAUGCACGAAAGCGUGGGGAGCAAACAGG
rnacentral:rRNA from 1 species